CUCAAACCCCUCAUCUCAUGAUCUACCCUCCUAGGCCUCCCAAUGUGCUGGGAUUACAGGCAUGAGCUACUGCACCCAUGCCCAACACAGUUCUUUUAAACAUAAGCCAAGUAACAAUUAAAUAAACUGUAAGUUCACUGGGAGGGCAGCUAGGAAUGGGAAGGAAGGUGAAAUGGCAAGGAAUCCCAGUUUUUCAUGCCCAGAGUGUAAUUCUCAACGGAAACUAAGCAGAAAGAAACUUAAAUAAACCCCUGGGAAGGAGACAGUAUGUAUAGUAAACAGUGGCCAGCACAGUGUGCCCUCCUGUAUGAAUACCAGGAUCAGAACAACCUGUCAUUUUGCCACUUUGAUCACAGAAUUUUGGUUAGAAAGAACGGGGGAUUUGGACUUUGCUCUGAGUUUGGCUCUUGACUGUCACCUGUUCAGUGUGUGAUCCUGGGUAAGUUUCUUAACCCUCUCAGCCUUCAUUUCCUUGUCUGUAGAGUGGGAAUGUGCAAUCUGGAGUCUGUGCUAGGAUUCUGUCACAUCUAGUAGACUAGUGGGGAAACCCCACAGGGAUCUGGGAAAUCUCCCUCUCUUGAGGAAAUGCAGGGAGCCAAGUACAGUGGGAUCACCAAGAGGUGAAGGGUUGUACUGGAGGAAGGAGUCGUUCUGAGUACACUGUGGUAGCAGUGGCGGGACCCCAUCCUUCACCCUACCCCAUAUCAGACCCGUGUCUGGUUCCUGGGCAGAGCUGUCGCUAAAAGCUAAAGCGACUAUUUGUUAGUGCUUCAUAAGACACUAGAGUACAGAGUCACUGAGAUGGGAGCCCUAUAAAUGAGCAUAAGAGAGAAAAAGGCAUCUUCACUUGACAAUCCACAGUGCAACUUUACCAGAGUGAGAUGGCAAAGCCAAAAAAGGGACAGUUGCUGGGCAUUGAUUUGCUGAUGAGAACAUGUAAGACCUCCUACCCUAGGAGCUCCCCAAAAGUGAAGGGUAGAAGGUGCUUUGCAGGGAGCUAGGUUCAAAGUGACAAACUAGCAUUUGGAUGAUUAGUCUUGUUGUGACUUUAUUUGUGUAUGCAUAGUGUAUUAGACAGGGUUCUCUAGAGAAACAGAACCUAUAGGACAUACACAGAUUUGUGGAAGAGGAUCUAUUAUGGGAAUUGGCUCAUGCAAUUGGCUCAAGAAAUUCCAUGAUAUGCAGUCUGCAAGCUGGAGAACCAGGACAGCUGGGAGUAUAACCCAGUCUGAUACUGAAAGCCUCAGAAUGAGGGGAGCCGAUGCUGUAACUCCCAGUCAGAGGCCCAAGGUCUGAGAACACAGGUGACAGCUUAUGUAAGUCCCAUGUUGGAAGGCCAAAGAACCUGGAAUUCUGAUGUUGGAGGUGGGAAAAGAUAAUGUCCUGGCUCCAGAAGGGAGAGCAAAUUCACCUUUCCUUUGCCUUUUUGUUCUAUUCUGGCUUUCAGCCGGUUGGAUGCUGCCCACCUGCGUUCAUGAGGGUGAUCUCUACUCAGUCCACUGAUUCGAAUGCUAAUCUCUUCCAGAAACACCCUCACAGGCAACCCAGAAAUAAUGUUUUAUAAUCUGUCUGGGUGCCACUUAACCCAAUCAAGUCGACACAAAAUUAACCAUCACACCUGGUGGGAGAAACUUGGCUAAUACCCACCUCAUGGGAAUCAAAUAGGAUGUUCCCAAGCAUGAGCCUGGACACGGCAAAUACACAGCAAGUGGCAAAUUCCCUCAGAAACCACCCAGGGAACCCACUGGAACCAUUGCAGAACGCUCAGAACAUCCCCUGGUGUGUUUGAGAAUUUGAUGGCAUUCUUGUGGCAGAUAGAUUAAUUAAAAAGUAACUUAACACCUAUAUUUGAGCAUGUAUAUGUUACAGUAAAGUAUACAUGCUAACAGGGUUUGAAAUUAUCUUUUCUUCUCAGCACGUUACAGUUUUCAAAAUACUUCAAUGUGAAUUUCAGUCACAUUAGCUCUUAAGCAACAACCUAAUCAUAUAGGAUCCCCAUAUACAAAUCAGAAGACUGCAUUUCAAAGAGGUGAAGUUACUUGUCUUUCAUAACCCAGCUAAUAAGGGGUGCAGCUGGACACAAACCUGGUCUCUUUCCAUUAAUGUCUGGUAGAAAACUAAGACCAAAACAAAUACAAUAAUGACAGGGGAAAAAAACAGCAAAUAGGAAAACCUGUGGAGAUAAAGACAGAUGUCUGUGGCUGGACAUCCAGGAGUCAGCAGGGACCUGAAACAAUCUAACUAGAAAAUGAAAGGGUGCUGCUGAGGACAGGGAGGCAGGGAUGAAGGAAGCAGACUCCCAGUGGGGCCUCCCCUGGCACCCCUGGUGAUAGUCCCCGGCUUUUCACAUUUCACAGAGUAUUUCUACUGCAACUCUCUGCUCCCAAAUCUCUAAGAGUCAAAACAGAGGCUUUGCUCCUGUCUCACUGUCUGGACCAGGCAAAUCACCUCUUGCGACUUUGGCAACUUCUGGUCUCAGGGUUUGUAUCCCAGUCAUUUCUACUUCUUGGAGAAUUAUUUACGACAUUCUAAAAGUAUAGAAAACCAUCUACUGAAAUGUGUCAACAUUAAAACAUUAGUUAGCCAGAAAUUAUGCUCAUUUAAGUUACAGCAAAAAAAGAGACAGGAAAUGACAUUAGCAUUUGUGGGCCAGCCUCUGUACUGGCCCAUUUCUCACACUCCUGAUCUCUUGUUAUAUUCACUGCAAUAUAAUUUGGGAAAUGGUAUCAUUCCCACUUUGACAGUUGAGGAAAUGGAUACUUAGAGAGGCAAAGUAACUUGGCUAAAGUCACACAGCUAAUAAGCAGCAAAUCUAGGAUGUGAAUCCAAGCCUGACUUUAGGGUAUUUUGCAAUAUACAACAGUUCAUGGCCUGUGAAAUUCAAAUGGAAUUAAGAGAUGACCAGCAAACAUAGUUUCAUUGCCAAUGAAAUUCUUGACUUUGCUUUUUUAUUAACCCAAAUUUACCAACAAUACAAUUUCCAAAUUACCAGCUUCAGAAGAGUUCUUAAGUCAUUGAAGCAUUCAGGAUUCAUGGAGUCCUGACAAUCAGGAUUUGACAUUGAGGAAGACGUGACUGGAGGGCCCAUGUGGAGCUGAGUGGCUCUAAUGUGAACUUUCAUUUUUGACAGUUCUCUGUAAAAGGGUGGCCUAUCUUGCACGGGAUAGAAGACGAGGAAGAGAUUCUCAGUCAAAGCUGCAUGGUUUCCUCAAACUGUUUCAUACAGGAACAACGUGUGAAAUGAAAGACCUCAGGUACUAUAUCGGCUCUUGACAGCUCUUCAGAAGAAAGCACCUCCUGCCUGUUCUGUUCAGUCCUGGUACAGAAAUUAGGACACAGACCCACACAGAGGGAGGACCAUGUGAAAGCAGAGGGAGAACACAGCUGCGUGCAAGCCACAGAGAGAGCCCUUCGAGGAAACCAACCCUGUGGACAAUUUGAUCUGAGGAUUCCAGCCUCCAGAACUGUGAGAAAAUAGAUUUCUGUUGUUUAAGUUACCCAGUCUGUGGUAUUUUGCUAAGGCAGUGAAGCUGUCUAAUACAAACAGAAGCCUGAUUUCACUUAAUAAUCAUCUCAGAAGGUAGAGAUUGCUCCAACCUAUUGUAUAAACAAGGCUGGUUUGUGAAUCAAAGAACGUGAGCCCCAGACCUGGAGUCGCAGAGGUAGCAUGACACGCACAGACAGCAUGCCUUCCAGUGGCAGGCAUUCCCACACUCAGAGACUCAAAGAACCUUCCUCCCUAGCCUUCCACCUGAGUGACUUUAGACAAGACAGCUAUUGUUAUUUUAUUUAACAAAUAUGUAUAUAGUGCUUAUUAUGUGCCAGAUGAUAGUCUGUGCACUGUGCAAAUAUUAACUCAUUUAAUCCCCAUUAUAACCCUGUGAUAUAUACACUGAAGAGCCACAGUCUCUUAUUCAAACCCUUGCUUGGGGCCAGCAGUGGUUGGCAUGUCAGAACUUGCAGAUUUAAGAAAGAUAUACAGCAUAUGUACCGUAGGCUUCAUAACACCUCAUGGCAUCUGCAACAGCGUCCUGUUAUGAAACAUACUAAUGUUUCUAGUUUCUGUAGUGACACAUAUAUAUGUUGCAUAAGUAAAGACUCUAAGUACCUUUGUGUCAAUUCAAGACACAGGGAUACUUUUAUUCAAUGUGCUUGUUUCAAGUCAGGUUUUGCUGCCAAAUGAGUUAUAAAUACAUUUUUUCAUAUUUUGGAGCUUUUAAAGUUUCAAAAUCAUUGGCCUGUAUUAGCCCCAUCUUACAGAUGAAGAAACUGAGGCACAGGAGCUUAAACAACUUACCCACAUCCAUUAGCUCAUGGGAGGUGGGACUGAGCUACCAACUCACCAGGUUUGCAGCCUCGCCAUGAGGACCCGAUACAAAGUAGGUAGACUUCCAGGUUGAAUUGUGUCCUCCAGAAGUCAUGUGUCAACGUCUUAACCUUAGUGCCUCAGAAUAGAUCCUUAUAUGGAAAUAGUCAUUGCAGAUAUAAUUAGAUAAGAUGAGGUCAUUAGGGUGGGCCCUAAUCCCAAGUGACUGGUGUCCUCAUAACAAGGAGAAAUUUGGACGAAGAUGCAGGCAUGCACACGGGGAGAGCACCAUGUGAAGAUGAAGGCGGGGCUCAGGGUAAUGCUUCUACAAGCUCAGCAAUGCCAAAGGUUGUUAGCAAACUGCUAGAAGCUGGGAGGGAGAAGCAUGGAACAGAUCCUUCCCUGACAGCCCUCAGAAGGAGCCAACCCUGCUGACACCUUGACCUUGAACAUGUGAGACAAUACAUUUCUGCUGUUUAAGCCACCCAGUUUGCAGUGCUUCGUUUCAGCAGGCCUGGCAAACUAU